CCCUUAGAUGUUCUGGGCGGCCCGCGCACUACAAUGGCGCGUUCAUCGAGAACCAAGGUUGAAUUAUUCGAGGUAUUCUUGCAAAACGCGUCUUGAUUGGGAUAGAUCCUUGUAAUUGUUGGUCUUGAACGAGGAAUUCCUUGUAAGCGUGGUUUAUCAUCCCACGUUGAAUGCGUCCCUGCCCUUUGUACACACCGCCCGUCGCUCCUACCGAUGAAUUGUCCGGUGAAGUUCAUGGAGAGCUGUUUCACUGAGAUGUGCUUAAAGCGAGAUGAACCUANCNGUUUAUNGGAAGGAGAANUCGUANCA
rnacentral:rRNA from 1 species